rnacentral:lncRNA from 1 species
GGAACUGAAUAGUUUCACUGUGAUUCCCUGACACCCGUAGGUUGAUGGGAGUGGUAAUAUGAAUGACGCGGCCUAUAGAUCUCCCAUCCAGCGCUCUAACAUCCAUGGGAGCGGAAAGGGGCUGUGUGGGUAUGUUCAGCUCGGAAGCCAGGGUAGCAUCCUAAAAGCUCUCAUCGGUCCCUGAGUCAAUGAGGACACGAAGAGAUUUAGACUGCUUUCCCCACAGCAGAAUGGCAUGAAAAGGGGUGCGAGCAAGGAAAGCAAGAAAGUUCUCCAUAUGGCCCACCAGAGUACUCACUCCUACAAGUGAGCCUGGUCUUUUUAAAGGACAAGAGGACACAAAAUGACCAAGAGUCCCACAAUACAGCCAACUCUUUGUGUUGAUCCUGUAUUACUGUUCCGCUGGCUACCUAGUUGCAUAGGCUUGGGAAGCGGUGGCUCAGCCGUCUUCGGCAACUCUCGGGGAAGGUCGGUAAGCCUCAGAUUCUCUCGGCAACGAGAUCGUCAGGGACUUCCGGGAUGACUCGGCGGCAAGAUGGAAUCCCUGGACGUGCGGGCAAAGUCGAAUUUCCUCUCCCUCCAUCGUUCCUGUAGUCGCCCAUCGAUUCAGAUGGUCAAAGCGAUGAGGGAAUCGAGAUCCGUAGGUAACUCCCGAGCUGCAAGCUCGUCCUCCUCCGAGACGCCGUGCAGGAACAUAUCGAACAGUGCUUCCUGGUUCCAAGCACUCUCCGCUGCCAACGUGCGGAAAUCCACACCAUCUGCCACACAGUGGGAGUCCUGCCGAAGCUGGAUUUGCUUCCGGGCAGCUUCUCUCCCAGAGAACGGGGCGUAAAAAACCUUCACCUCUCCCACGAACCCCUCCAGACUAACGCAUAUGGCCAACUGUUGUUCCCAUACAGCAGUAGCCCAGGUGAGAGCCCUCCCGGACAUCAGCGUGAUGAGAUAGGCAAUCUUGGAGCGAUCCGGGGGAAGGAGGGCUGAAGCUCGAAAAUGAGAGCACACUGAGCUAGGGACACCCGACAGUUGCUCAGCUCUCCAUUGAAGCAUUCCGGGGGGGGUGUAAGUGGGGCUCCCAAGAAGGUGGAGUGACCGAUGAGACGGCACUGCUAGCAGUGGCUGCUGAGGAGAGGACAGCUCAUAAUAAUGUCCGUAACUAAGCAAAUGGAAUGGUAUCAAACACAUGGAAACCAUGUGUUUGAUGUCUGUGAUACCAUUCCACACAUUCCCCUCCAGCAAUUACCAUUACCAAGUCCGUUCUCCCCAAUUAAGGUGCCACCAACCUCCUAAGCUGUCUGCCCAGCCAUGACCUAUGUCACAUCUUCACCUCAAUCCAUCUCCUCAGGUCAUACCACCUGUGACUGCAGCAGUAGAUUGACAGCAGGGCUGUCUGGAAGAGAAAGAGAGAGAGUGGGGAAGAUGGAAAGAGAGAGAUGAGGAAGUGAGAGAGGCAAAGGGAGAGUCAGAGGGAGAGGGAGAAAGAAGGGAGAGAGAACAAGCAUUAAUUAGCAUAAGGCCUAUUGUUGUUGUUGUUGUUGUGGCGGACUGACUGCUGCCCCUGGUGUAUCACACACACGCGCGCACACACAAUUUCACUCUCUCAAACGAGCACUGUAGCCUUCCCUCUGCUAAUCAAGAGGGCUAUGAACUGCCAUGGCCUCCAAGCCCACCCCCAUACCCCGCACACACAUGCAGAUGGUCAGACAGGCACGAGAGAGAGAGAGACAUUGUUACAACAUUGUACAUAGCCAUAAUAUGACAUUAGAAAUGUUUCUAUUCUAUUUAAACUUUUGUGAGUGUAAUGUUUACUGUUCAUUUCAUUUCUGAUUGUUUAUUUCAACUUUGUUUAUUAUCUAUUUCACUUGCUUAUGUGGUAACAUAUGUUUCCCAUGCCAAUAAAGCCCACUGAAUUGAAUUGAAUUAAGAGAGAGAGAGAGAGAGACACGUAAAACACCAAAUAAUGCAUGGAAAGCAGAAUUAGGGCGAUACCCACUAAUUAUCAAAAUCCAGAAAAGAGCUAUUAAAUUCUACAACCACCUAAAAGGAAGCGAUUCCCAAACCUUCCAUAACAAAGCCAUCACCUACAGAGAAAUGAACCUGGAGAAGAGCCCCCGAAGCAAGUUGGUCCUGGGGCCCUGUUCACAAACACACAGACCCCACAGAGCCCCAGGACAGCAACACAAUUAGACCCAACCAAAUCACGAGAAAACAAAAAUAUUAUUACUUGACACAUUGGAAAGAACUAACAAAAAAACAGAGUAAACUAGAAUGCUAUUUGGUCCUAAACAGAGAGUACAC